rnacentral:rRNA from 1 species
AUUGAACGCUGGCGGCAUGCCUUACACAUGCAAGUCGAACGGCAGCACGGGAGCAAUCCUGGUGGCGAGUGGCGAACGGGUGAGUAAUAUAUCGGAACGUGCCCAGUCGUGGGGGAUAACGCAGCGAAAGCUGUGCUAAUACCGCAUACGAUCUAAGGAUGAAAGCGGGGGAUCGCAAGACCUCGCGCGAUUGGAGCGGCCGAUAUCAGAUUAGCUAGUUGGUGGGGUAAAGGCCCACCAAGGCGACGAUCUGUAGCUGGUCUGAGAGGACGACCAGCCACACUGGAACUGAGACACGGUCCAGACUCCUGCGGGAGGCAGCAGGGGGGAAUUUUGGACAAUGGGCGCAAGCCUGAUCCAGCAAUGCCGCGUGCAGGAUGAAGGCCUUCGGGUUGUAAACUGCUUUUGUACGGAACGAAACGGCCCUUUCUAAUACAGGGGGCUAAUGACGGUACCGUAAGAAUAAGCACCGGCUAACUACGUGCCAGCCGCCGCGGUAA